UGUAUUCACUACUGUAAGUCGCUCUGGAUAAGAGCCUCUGCUGAAUGACUAAAA
rfam:Salmo salar isolate Sally breed double haploid chromosome ssa25, whole genome shotgun sequence.